GACAUCACUGGAAGUUACAACUUUCAAAGAAGGCAUUUAUGAUUUAAAGAUUUGUGAAUGGAAAUCAAUAACAUCGGAAUGAAAAAGGACUACGGGGUAACGGAUGACACUCUGAGAUUGAGAACCCAAAAGGUACAUGCUGUGCUAGAAAGAUGUAAACAUGCGAAUUCCUAAAUGUACUAAAUAUUAAAACAUCAACUGCAAUCUUCAGUGGUGACAUCCAAAAGUUGAUAUGCCAUUGGUACUUCAAGUGAUACGACCGUGACAUUGGAAAAUCCUUUUAACUUAUCAUCACUUGAGCCUGAAUUGCAAUCCUUUUGAUACAGACAUUUUUUUAAGUUCAGUUUCGAACAUUAAUGCCGCUGUGUCAUCUCUGGAAAUGGAAAAGCCUACCACAGAAUCUGAUGAAUUUUUGAACAUUCUUUCACAAAAAGGGAUCUUCUUUAUUUUGAAGAAGGUAGCCCAGGAACUGGAAAUCUGUUAUCAAAAUGAUCUUAAUAAUACACUGGACAAUAUUCUAACCUUAAAAAAAACCAUGACAAACCCGAUUGAACUCCUGUGAUGAAGCAUCUCAAAACUCAAAUUAUGGUAGUCUUUCAAGUGACAUUGAGGAUUUCAAUAGCGCAUUUGACAGUGAAGUGAUUUUUAUUCAAGUUCAGAUUGUUGUCAUUAUAAAUUUAUAAGAAGUGUUCUCAUAGCCAACAUUUUUCAAGUCUACUUUUGAUGAAAUAUAGUCUUUUCUAUUACAACUUAUUAUGACAUGAUUGUUGUUGUAUACAUAAAUGUUCUUAUCCACGAAUCAUUCACUGUUCUUACAGGGUUUUUUUUAGCCUGAACUAUGUAGCAAUGACAUGUCAAGGUAAUCCAGAAAAUGUAAAAUCUUUUCUUUGAUAUGACAAGGAUUUAAUUUUGUAACAAUAUCUAAAAGUCCUGUAACCCUCAUUAAAGUCCUUUAUAAUCUGACUUCACUGGUUGUAAGAUUUUGAGGGUAAUUGCAAGACUUCUCUCUUUGCAUACUUUUAAUACGAAGUCCUGGAAAGCAAUGUAAAGUCUUGCAUUAUCUUGAAUGUAUCAAGUAUGAGAUUUUUAGGGAAUUUCUGGGACGAUGUUUUCAUUUUAUAAUAAAGUCCUGAAAAACACAAGAAUGUCCUAGAAAAACCUGCUGCUAUGAGAGUGGGACUUUGUAAGACAUUUAGGUAAUAAAUAUGUCCUAGAAAUUCUUGCAAAGUCACUCUUGAUGUAAGUGGGAUAUUCCAGGACAAAUGCAGAAACAUGAACUCCUGUAUUAUCCCACUGCAUUAGGACAUGGGAGAAGUGGGACUUCACAAGGAAGUCCCAGGACUUCCAGGGAUAUCCUUCAAUUAAGCAAAAAAGUGGGAUUUAUUUUCAGAGGGGUUGUAUGGUAAGCGUACAAUUUGUUUGACAAACUUCAGCAUCUCACGGUGGGGAAAAUGACAUUAAAACACUUGCCAGAAUAACUGACACAGUAACUGUAAAAUUAUAUAAUAUACUAAUGUAACAAUAUUUUUUACACAAGUUUUAGAAAGUAAAAUCAAUAAAAGAUGUAUUUGACCUUCUGCAGUUGUAAAAUGCAUAACAAUUAGUAUGUCUAAAUUCAUUAAAUUUGGAUUUGAAGUACAUGCCUAAAAUUGCUCAGGUUACAUAUUUAUUAAUAAAAGAUCUCCAGCGGCAGGGGGCCGCCUACGCCCCCUGACCCCCGCCUUACUAUUUUCCAUUUCAUAAUGUUGGCAGCUCUGAAUGUAUGGAAAAAUCUUCUCAAGAACCACUGUGCCAGAAAAGCUGAAAUUUACAUGAAAGCUUUCUGACAGUGCAGAUUCAAGUUUGUUCAAAUCAUGGCCCCAGGGUUCGAUGGGGCCACAAUAGGAGGUCAAAGUUUUAUAUAGAAAUAUAUAGGGAAAAUCUUCUCAAAAACUACGGGCCAGGAAAGUGGAAAUUUACAUGAAAGUUUCCUAACAUAGUGCAGAUGAAAUUUGUUCAAAUCAUAGCCCCCGGGGAUAGGAUGGGGCCACAAUAGGGGAUCAAAGUUUUACAUACAAAUAUAUAGGGAAAAUCUUUAAAAAUCUUCUUCUCAAGGACCACUGAGCCAGAAAAGCUGAGAUUUACAUGAAAACUUCCUGACAUAGUGCAGAUUCAAGUUUGUUAAAAUCUUGGCUCCCCGGGGUUGUAUGUGGCCACAAUAGGGAUCGAAGUUUGGCAGGCGAAUAUAUAGGAAAAAUCUUUAAAUAUGAGCCAAGGUGACUCCGGUGAGAGAUGUCGCCCAUGUGCCUCUUGUUAAUUUUUAAAUCCCCAUUGGACACUACGAUUUGAAGUUUGAAGGAGUUGUCCUCAUAAGUAUUUCCAUUGUCUACAGUAAACAAAGCUCUGAGCUGGAGAUUUUGUCAGCCCGAUAGGCAACGUAAUUUCUGAUGGUGAACUAAAAUAUGCAUGAUAUUAUUUUUGAAAGCGCUCGUUUGCGCAGUUGUUUAGUUAGGAAACCUAUGUAUCAAAUUAAAGUGGAGUAAAUACUGAAUGUAUCUGAUAUUGUAACAUGUAUGCAACCUCGCCGAAAAAAGUGUGAAAAAAUCGGUUGACCUACUUUGUGCAGUCAACAUGAUGAAUAUUGCAUCUGUAAUAAAAUGUUCAUAAUCAUUUUGUUCUUCAGAUUCUCAGGUGUUUUUAUGCAGGCUGUCCAGCGGCCCUAAAAUUCCUAAUUUUUUUCAGUUUUGCUAAAAUUCCUAAAAAAAAAUGUAAAAUUCAAGGGGAAAUCCUAAAAAAGCCCUUAUUUUUCAUGUCAAUUCCUACUUUUUUAUAAGUCUUGAAAAAUCAAAAUGCAUUCAUACAAAAUGUGUGUUAUUAACGUAGAUUGCAGUUCUUAUUCAGAUAAUGCUGAUGCAGUGAAAGGCAGUUGACCUGUGGAUCCAUGUGUCAAGCUUGUUUAUUGGUUAUAGCCAAUAAUAGCUGAGACCAUGGAACACUGGAAUACGCCCUUCCUGUACUUGCAUCUUAUUUGUGUGUCAUGUGAGUUUCUUUAUUGUCAAAUUUGACAAGGUAAAUCCUUUUAAAUAAUUAAA